rnacentral:rRNA from 1 species
UACGUAGGGUGCGGACGUUGUCCGGAAUUACUGGGCGUAAAGAGCUCGUAGGUGGUUUGUCGCGUUGUUCGUGAAAACUCACAGCUUAACUGUGGGCGUGCGGGCGAUACGGGCAGACUGGAGUACUGCAGGGGAGACUGGAAUUCCUGGUGUAGCGGUGGAAUGCGCAGAUAUCAGGAGGAACACCGGUGGCGAAGGCGGGUCUCUGGGCAGUAACUGACGCUGAGGAGCGAAAGCGUGGGGAGCGAACAGG